rnacentral:rRNA from 1 species
UGCAAGUCGAGCGAUGAAACACCUUCGGGUGUGAAUUAGCGGCGAACGGGUGAGGAACACGUGAAGAAUCUGCCUUCAACUCUGGGAUAACUCCGGGAAACCGGGGCUAAUACCGGAUAUGAGCCUCGAUCGCAUGAUUGGGGCUGGAAAGUUUUUCGGUUGAAGAUGACUUCGCGGCCUAUCAGCUUGUUGGUGAGGUAAUGGCUCACCAAGGCGACGACGGGUAGCCGGCCUGAGAGGGCGACCGGCCACACUGGGACUGAGACACGGCCCAGACUCCUACGGGAGGCAGCAGUGGGGAAUAUUGGGCAAUGGAGGAAACUCUGACCCAGCGACGCCGCGUGAGGGAUGAAGGCCUUCGGGUUGUAAACCUCUUUCAGUAGGGAAGAAGCGAAAGUGACGGUACCUACAGAAGAAGCACCGGCUAACUAUGUGCCAGCAGCCGCGGUAAUACAUAGGGUGCAAGCGUUGUCCGGAAUUAUUGGGCGUAAAGAGCUCGUAGGUGGUUCGAUACGUCGGAUGUGAAAAUCAGGGGCUCAACCCCUGACCUGCAUCCGAUACGGUCGAGCUAGAGUUUGGUAGGGGAGACUGGAAUUCCUGGUGUAGCGGUGGAAUGCGCAGAUAUCAGGAGGAACACCGAUGGCGAAGGCAGGUCUCUGGGCCAAUACUGACACUGAGGAGCGAAAGCGUGGGGAGCGAACAGGAUUAGGUACCCUGGUAGUCCACGCCGUAAACGGUGGGCGCUAGUUGUGCGAACCUUCCACGGUUUGUGCGACGCAGCUAACGCAUUAAGCGCCCCGCCUGGGGAGUACGAUCG